rnacentral:rRNA from 1 species
GCAAGUCGAACGGACUCUUCGGGGUUAGUGGCGCACGGGUGAGGAACACGUGGGAACAUACCCUUUGGUAGGGAAUAAUGUCUGGAAACGGACACUAAUACCCUAUAAUGACUUCGGUCCAAAGAUUUAUCGCCAAAGGAUUGGCCCGCGCAUGAUUAGAUAGUUGGUGAGGUAAUGGCUCACCAAGUCUACGAUCAUUAGCUGGUCUGAGAGGAUGAUC